rnacentral:rRNA from 1 species
UAAUAAGGUCUCCGUAGGUGACCUGCGGAGGGA